rnacentral:rRNA from 1 species
GACGUAGGGGCGAGCGUUGUCCGGAAUUACUGGGCGUAAAGGGCGCGUAGGCGGCCGUUCAAGUCAGGUGUAAAAUACCCCGGGCUCAACCCGGGGAUAGCACUUGAAACUGGGCGGCUAGAGGGCAGGAGAGGGGAGUGGAAUUCCCGGUGUAGCGGUGAAAUGCGUAGAUAUCGGGAGGAAUACCAGUGGCGAAGGCGACUCUCUGGACUGACCCUGACGCUGAGGCGCGAAAGCGUGGGGAGCAAACAGGAUUAGAUACCCCGGUAGU